rnacentral:ncRNA from 1 species
ACCAUCCUUUCCUUGGAGUUGUGCUACUGUCCGGUGAGUGCACGGCAAGAGCAGUCCUCCUAACCCUAUAUAACACACCUGUCUCAACUAGAGCAUCACUUCACCUUGGUGCAGCUUUUGGAAAA